rnacentral:lncRNA from 1 species
UUCUUUACAAAAUAAAUAAUUACAUUAUAAGGAGACAACGGUCCAGCAACCCAAAGUUGACUGGGAGACGACGGCCUAGACCUCUCACGAACUCGUCAAAGCAUCCUUCAUGCGCCUCAUCCUGUGGUACCUGAUCUUGACCUGUGGGGGGGUGUGAGACAGCAAGAGUGAGCUCACAUACGUUCAUCGCUCAACAAGUUGUGGGGAAUAAUGUGCAUGAACUCGCCAAAGGUGGGAGCUCAUGUGAAGUGUAAGGCUUACCAAAGAGGAUGGUUAGAGCUGAGCAUUGCUUUUAAAGUUGGUCAAAAUUUUAUUAGCAAUUACUAAGUAUAAGUAAAUACCAACCCAAUUAAGUAGUAGAACAAAAGUAACAACCUCACUUGCGAUGCAAUGCAUAUGACAAAUUGAGUUUAGGUUCCAUAAUUUAAUCAUGUGAGUGUCUGAGCCGCUCAUGACCGUGAGCACGGCUAGUAUACCAGUUUUACACUCUGCAGAGGUUGCGCAUCUUUACCCACAAGUCAUGUUACCCAUCUGCCAAGGGAUCGCGACUUCCCAUACACCUCUACCGAGGAGGCGAGGCAGGGUAACACUACGAGGCCUUUACAAAGUUCCACUAGCUUCAGAAAACCCGCUACAGUUUAUAGGAAGCUCCAAUGCAGGGUUCUUGCCUGACCGCCAUCGCAGCAAAAUCAACCAAGGACCUCCCUACACUGACCACUCCCCUACUGCCCUUGCCCCUUUCGGGUAAGGUAGUCCUCCACUAGCUUUCCUAAUUAAUCAGCCAAGGGCGUCCAUAAACCCUUGUGGUAGCACUGUUUUCCCGGGUGGUUCUCCAUGUUCCAAUUAACAUAAUGAUCUUAUCAUGAACAGUGAUAAUAAACAGAUAAUAAAAGUGUGGUCAUGAAUAAUGUAUCUUCAUACCCAAAACCACAUAAAGCACUAGCAAGUACUACCCAAAAAGUUCAGUGGUAAACAAGGUAUAAAGAUAAUCAAACUAGGGUAACCUAUUGGGUCCCAUCAAAAUUAACCUAUGCAGAUCAUUAUAAUUAAUUAGAACAUGAGUAGGUAAAAGAAGUGAUCAAGGGCACAACUUGCCUGGGACUUGAGAUUCUAGGUAUCAACUUGCUCUUCAGAUGACACGUAACCUCGCGCUAGUCGUAGUAAUACAAACAAACAUGGUAUAGACAAAAUUAACAUCACACCAAACAUAAGAAUAAAUUGUGUAAUAUUAUUCUACACUGAGUAACGAGAUCGUAGAAACAAGAACCAAUAAAUUCGGAACUAUGGUUAUUAAGUUAUGAAUUUCCGAAAUUAUUUAGUGCUUAGAAUAGAUUAAUCCAAACGAACAAUUUUAAUUCAUGUUUCAUGGCUAAACAGUGUUACUAGUUGAUAGACAAUAUUAAUACAAAAUUAUUGCAACUAAAAUGACUCAAUUUGGAGCUAAAAUGAAUUAACUAUGAAUUAUACAAGUUUAUAGAAUUAUUUUCAUACUAAAAACCUAUUUCUUUAUUAAUUUCUGAAUAUCCUAAGUGUUCUGGACUGGCUCAAUAUUUCUUAAAAGAUCAGGGGCUAACCCGCAAGAUUUACGCAGACUCAGAAAUCCCUGAGUUGGACGGCGGGUUAAUACUAAUAAAACAGAGGGGCUCUUAUGUAAACUAGCUUCGGCGAAGGGGUACGGUUGUAUUCUGACCGUUCGAUCUAUUCUGGAUGGUCCAGAUUAAAUACGUGAAGGGGUACACAAAGUUCUAAUCCUGAACCUACAACCCCAAUCCAACGGACCCUGUCGGGGACCAUAAUUAGGGGUACUGUAACACCCAAUUUGUAACAUAUAAUAAAAGAGGAGAAAUUAAUUCCUUUAUCUAUAAGUGUGUUAUUUCUACUGACCAUCAUAUGUGAACACCCCCACUUACACAAUUAAAUAAAUACCCCAAAGACACCUAAAUAAAUCUUGCAUCAUGCUAAGUUUUUUUACUUGAUUGUGCAUUGUGUUUAAUAAAAUAAAUAUGUCAUUAACAACAUAUCAAUGGAUCCAUAAAACAUAAUUUAAACUCUAACUUGAAAAUAAAACCGUGGAAAUAGAGGAGAGAAAUGAAUAUUAUUCAAUAUAGAAAAUUAGUAUAACUAAAUAACUUCAUCAUAUGUUGGUGUGGCCAAAUUGCAUGGUUAACACGGAUUCGAAUUUGCACUUAAGCUGAGUUCAAAAUUCGAAUUCAAAUGAAUUAUAAAUAAAGAAAAACAGGAAAUAUCAAAAGAAAAAGGAAUAAGGAUCAGACUCACAUGGGCCCAAAUCAGUCACUCGGCCCAUUAAAUCCCCCCCCCCACGCGGCCCAGCCGUGGAUUCCGCGUGCGCCUGGUGUUGUUGCACGCCUGACAGAUGGGCCCGUGCGCAGUCACGUGCCCUUUGUCUCUGCCGCGCGGGUCCCGCUGGCCGGCUUUACAGGGCUCAAGCGCAUCCUUCUUCAGCCACUUACCGGUGGGGCCGUCCUGCCAUCACCUUCUUCCUUGCUCCGUGCUCCUCCCAACGGAGUCCGCUGAUAUCGCGUGGAAUCCGGACAAGAUUGCCCACCGCCCCAGCUCCAGCCUUCCUCCCUUCCUGUUCCGCACAAUCACCUGGGCGUGUCGUCCGCUGCCUCUGGUGCGUGGGCCCCGCGCCAUAGAAUCGUCUCCUACCCCAGAAACAGAACACGCAUAGCUCCGUAUGUGCCGCCGCGCGAAUUCCGCGCUCAGCUGUAACCACCGCGGAUCCUCUUCCCCCAUCGCGGACUCCGGUCCCAGCUAUAAAAUGCUCAGCCUCGCGUCCUCCUUAGGCCAUAGACUCGAACCGAGCUCGCACACCUUGUCCAGAAACAAAGAUUGGGGGGAAAAUCGGGCCGCCAUCGUGGGACAGCCACCUUGGCGUCGUCUGGCAUCCAAAAAUCGGGCUGGGGGUGUGCGCAUCAGCUCAGGGGUGUUCUCCGGUGAGACAUUUUGUGCCGUGGGGUAUGGUUCAACUGCGAUUUCUCGCCGGACAUGGGAUUCCGCCGCAGAACCACUCCUUACCGUGGCCGGUGCGUCUGGGGGCAUGGACUGCGUCAUGGGUCCCCUUGACUCGAUCGCCUUGUCACUCUCGUCGUGUUGCACCAUCCACGUCGAGGUUUGGGCGGUUGUGCGGGGAUCCUGUGGGUUGCGGCCAUGGCACCACCGCGAUGGCGACGGCGUCACCGCCUGGUCUCGGCGUGGGGAGGAAGACACACGAUCGCCGUUGAUCUUCUGAUGAGCGGGCUGGAUUAAAACAAGGUAACGCUUCGCCCGGACUCGUCCAGCGCCGUAGAUCUGGGAUCGUAGGGCCGCUGGCACGCGUAAUAUAUUAACCGUAGAUCUUGGAUCGGGCGAAUGCGAUCGCGUACCGGUUCAUUACAGUAUGGAUCUAAUCCUGACCGCUGAUUCAGAAUCCAUCGGCCGAAAUCAGCCCAUACCCCCUUCGCUGCGGCCAUUUUCAAAAAGAGCCCCUCGGCUUAUUCCGAAUCAACCCGCCGUCCUCGCGGGAGUAGGCUGAGUCUGGUAUAUUUUACAGAAUAAACCCCAACCUUCUCUGUAUUAGUGCGCCCAGUCCAGGAAGUUAAGAAAUCAGAUAAAAGGUUUUAGAAAAUGAUUUUUAAUGCAAAAAUAAAGGCUAGAAUUUGUUUAAUUCAUAAGAAAUUCAUAUGAAGUCCAAAUUAAUCCAUUCCAAUUCCUAUAAUCCUAUAAUAAUGUUGUUUAUUACCCUGUAUCUUUGUUUUGACAUGAAAAUGGUAUUAAAAUUUAUCUCUUAAUUAAUCUCGUAUCAAAUACAUAAAACCUUAGGAAAUUCAUAACUCCUCCGUUUUAACUCCGAUUUGAUCCGUUCAAGUUGUGUUAGUCUCGUAGCUACGCGUAGAUUAUUAUUAUUCAGUUUGUUCUUAUGUUUGGUGUGAUGUUAAUUUUAUCUAUACCAUAUUUGUUUGUAUUGCUACGACUAGCGCGAGGACACGUGUCAUCUGAAAAGCAAGUUGGUACCUGGAAUCUCAAGUCCCAGGCAAGUUGUGCCCUUGAUCACUUCUUUUUACCCAGCCAUGUUCUGAUUAAUCAUAAUGAUCUGCAUAGGUUAAUUUUGAUGGGACCCAAUAGGUUACCCUAGUUUGAUUAUCUUUAUACCUUGUUACCACUGAACUUUUUGGGUAGUACUUGCUAGUGCUUUAUAUGGUUUUGGGUAUGAAGAUACAUUACUCAUGAUUAUACUUUUGUUAUCCGUUGUUAUUUAUCGUUCAUGAUAAGAUCAUUAUGUUAAUUGGAACAUGGAGCGACCACCCGGGAAAACAGUGCUACCACAAGGGUAUAAUGGGACGCCCUUGGCUGAUUAAUUAGGAAAGCUAGUGGAGGACUACCUUACCCGAAAGGGGCAAGGGCAGUAGGGGAGUGGUCAGUGUAGGGAGACCCUCGGGAGGAUUUUGCUGCGAUGGUGGUCCUGCAAGGGAAUUCCUGCAUUGGAGCUUCCUAUAAACUGUAGCGGGUUUUCUGAAGCUAGUGGAACUUUGUAAAGGCCUCGUAGUGUUACCCUGCCUCGCCUCCUCGGUAGAGGUGUAUGGGAAGUCGCGAUCCCUUGGCAGAUGGGUAACAUGACUUGUGGGUAAAGAUGUGCCACCUCUGCAGAGUGUAAAACUGGUAUACUAGCCGUGCUCACGGUCAUGAGCAGCUCGGACCCUCACAUGAUUAAAUUAUGGAACUUAAACUCAAUUUGUCAUAUGCAUUGCAUCGCAGGUGAGGUUGUUACUUUUGUUCUACUAUUUAAUUGGGUUGGUAUUUACUUAUACUUAGUAAUUGCUAAUAAAAUUUUGACCCACUUUAAAAGCAAUGCUCAGCUCUAACCAUCCUCUUUGGUAAGCCUUACACUUCACGUGAGCUCCCACCUUUGGCGAGUUCAUGCACAUUAUUCCCCACAACUUGUUGAGCGAUGAACGUAUGUGAGCUCACUCUUGCUGUCUCACACCCCCCCCCCCCACAGGUCAAGAACAGGUACCGCAGGAUGAGGCGCGUGGAGGAUGCUGUGAUGAGUUCGUGAGUGGUCUAGGUCGUCGUCUCCCAGUCAACUUUGGGUUGCUGGACCGUUGUCUCCAUAUAAUGUAAUUAUUUAUUUUUGUAUAGAACUCCUGUUAUGUAGUAAAGUUGUGACAUUCGAUCCUGUGCCAUGAUUCAUCAUAUGUGUGAGACUUGGUCCCAGCACACCUGGUGUUUAUGUUCGCGCCCGGGUUUUGGAUCCCUAAAAUCCGGGUGUGACAGAAGUGGUAUCAGAGGAAUGUUGACUGUAGGACGAAACCUAGAUAGAACUGGACAACCAAUACUUACUUACCUUUGCUACUCUGAUUCUUUCUAAACUCUUCUUAAUCUUUUCUCAUCUAUUUCCGCUUUACUCUGAUUAUUCUUGCCUUUUCCUUCUAAAGACAAAUGGGGAUUUCACACUUUGAAAUCCAGUGCCUAAAGUGACUUUUAGGAAUAGGAGACCUACUCUUAGGAACAAAAAAAACAAAACUAUUUUUUUUAUCUAUAUGCUUGAAUGUUUGUUCUUGUGAUACAUGUCUGAUUUGGAUCUUUGAUUGAUUGUGAUGAGUUGUGGAGUAAUGUCCACGAUUACAUCUGCAUAUACAUAUAGGAAAAAAAUGCUUAUAAAAAAAUAUAACUAGAUAAACUAGAUAAUCCCUCAUUAAAGUAUCUAGCCUAACAAUAUCCAUCUCAUCUUGAAAGCUUCUAUCCUACACUCAUAGAUCCAUCUUAUCUUAAAAGAUACUCUAUCUUGAAAAGAUUUUAUCUCAUCCUAAUAGAUCUAACUGGCCUUAAAAGAUUCUAUCUUAUCUUUAUGGAUCCAUCUUAUCCUAAUAAGCAUACUUAUCCACCCUAGUUUAACAACCAUGAUCUAAUGUAAAUUAAUUAGAUCUUAUCUAGUCAAACUAGUCAUACCAAUCUAAUCUAGAUCCCAUCUAACCUAAUAUGAUCUAAUCUAAAGUGAGUUACUUAAUGGACCAGUUAAUACUUGUGAAAUAGAUUAGACCCUCUCCACAUGUUUUAACUUAGUUCACCCUACACUGAAUAAAGAAUGAGAGACCAACCCAACCAAUAGAGUCUUGAUGGAUUGUAUGAUCUACCUAUCCCCACCUAACAUCAAACAAACUUUUGACCUACAUCAUGUAGUCUAUCCCAUCCAUACCUAUCUUAACCAUAUUUCCCAGCCCAAUAAUAUACACUAACUCCUAAUCAAUGAGACAAGACCGAAGAAGAUGAUCAACCUCAUCAAGGAAGGAGAGAAGUCAAACUCGAUCUUCAGAUGCAUUACCACCCAUCAAGGAGUUAUUUCUCACCAUAAACCUUCUUACACCAGGAUAUUCUUGCCCUAACCUACCCAUCUUUUAUAAUAAAAUGACUAUACAUAUAGAUACCCAUGCUUUCCUAGUCACUUUCUAAAACUUCUUAUUCUUAAACUAAUUAGAAGUUAAAGGCUAAACUAUAAAUAAAGUUUUUAACAUCCCUUUUCUUACAAAUCUCGAGGACGAGAUUUUUGUUAAGGGGGGUAGGAUUUGUAACACCCAGUUUGUAACAUAUAAUAAAAGAGGAGAAAUUAAUUCCUUUAUCUAUAAGUGUGUUAUUUCUACUGACCAUCAUAUGUGAACACCCCCACUUACACAAUUAAAUAAAUACCCCAAAGACACCUAAAUAAAUCUUGCAUCAUGCUAAGUUUUUUUACUUGAUUGUGCAUUGUGUUUAAUAAAAUAAAUAUGUCAUUAACAACAUAUCAAUGGAUCCAUAAAACAUAAUUUAAACUCUAACUUGAAAAUAAAACCGUGGAAAUAGAGGAGAGAAAUGAAUAUUAUUCAAUAUAGAAAAUUAGUAUAACUAAAUAACUUCAUCAUAUGUUGGUGUGGCCAAAUUGCAUGGUUAACACGGAUUCGAAUUUGCACUUAAGCUGAGUUCAAAAUUCGAAUUCAAAUGAAUUAUAAAUAAAGAAAAACAGGAAAUAUCAAAAGAAAAAGGAAUAAGGAUCAGACUCACAUGGGCCCAAAUCAGUCACUCGGCCCAUUAAAUCCCCCCCACGCGGCCCAGCCGUGGAUUCCGCGUGCGCCUGGUGUUGUUGCACGCCUGACAGAUGGGCCCGUGCGCAGUCACGUGCCCUUUGUCUCUGCCGCGCGGGUCCCGCUGGCCGGCUUUACAGGGCUCAAGCGCAUCCUUCUUCAGCCACUUACCGGUGGGGCCGUCCUGCCAUCACCUUCUUCCUUGCUCCGUGCUCCUCCCAACGGAGUCCGCUGAUAUCGCGUGGAAUCCGGACAAGAUUGCCCACCGCCCCAGCUCCAGCCUUCCUCCCUUCCUGUUCCGCACCAUCACCUGGGCAUGUCGUCCGCUGCCUCUGGUGCGUGGGCCCCGCGCCAUAGAAUCGUCUCCUACCCCAGAAACAGAACACGCAUAGCUCCGUAUGUGCCGCCGCGCGAAUUCCGCGCUCAGCUGUAACCACCGCGGAUCCUCUUCCCCCAUCGCGGACUCCGGUCCCAGCUAUAAAAUGCUCAGCCUCGCGUCCUCCUUAGGCCAUAGACUCGAACCGAGCUCGCACACCUUGUCCAGAAACAAAGAUUGGGGGGAAAAUCGGGCCGCCAUCGUGGGACAGCCACCUUGGCGUCGUCUGGCAUCCAAAAAUCGGGCUGGGGGUGUGCGCAUCAGCUCAGGGGUGUUCUCCGGUGAGACAUUUUGUGCCGUGGGGUAUGGUUCAACUGCGAUUUCUCGCCGGACAUGGGAUUCCGCCGCAGAACCACUCCUUACCGUGGCCGGUGCGUCUGGGGGCAUGGACUGCGUCAUGGGUCCCCUUGACUCGAUCGCCUUGUCACUCUCGUCGUGUUGCACCAUCCACGUCGAGGUUUGGGCGGUUGUGCGGGGAUCCUGUGGGUUGCGGCCAUGGCACCACCGCGAUGGCGACGGCGUCACCGCCUGGUCUCGGCGUGGGGAGGAAGACACACGAUCGCCGUUGAUCUUCUGAUGAGCGGGCUGGAUUAAAACAAGGUAACGCUUCGCCCGGACUCGUCCAGCGCCGUAGAUCUGGGAUCGUAGGGCCGCUGGCACGCGUAAUAUAUUAACCGUAGAUCUUGGAUCGGGCGAAUGCGAUCGCGUACCGGUUCAUUACAGUAUGGAUCUAAUCCUGACCGCUGAUUCAGAAUCCAUCGGCCGAAAUCAGCCCAUACCCCCUUCGCUGCGGCCAUUUUCAAAAAGAGCCCCUCGGCUUAUUCCGAAUCAACCCGCCGUCCUCGCGGGAGUAGGCUGAGUCUGGUAUAUUUUACAGAAUAAACCCCAACCUUCUCUGUAUUAGUGCGCCCAGUCCAGGAAGUUAAGAAAUCAGAUAAAAGGUUUUAGAAAAUGAUUUUUAAUGCAAAAAUAAAGGCUAGAAUUUGUUUAAUUCAUAAGAAAUUCAUAUGAAGUCCAAAUUAAUCCAUUCCAAUUCCUAUAAUCCUAUAAUAAUGUUGUUUAUUACCCUGUAUCUUUGUUUUGACAUGAAAAUGGUAUUAAAAUUUAUCUCUUAAUUAAUCUCGUAUCAAAUACAUAAAACCUUAGGAAAUUCAUAACUCCUCCGUUUUAACUCCGAUUUGAUCCGUUCAAGUUGUGUUAGUCUCGUAGCUACGCGUAGAUUAUUAUUAUUCAGUUUGUUCUUAUGUUUGGUGUGAUGUUAAUUUUAUCUAUACCAUAUUUGUUUGUAUUGCUACGACUAGCGCGAGGACACGUGUCAUCUGAAAAGCAAGUUGGUACCUGGAAUCUCAAGUCCCAGGCAAGUUGUGCCCUUGAUCACUUCUUUUUACCCAGCCAUGUUCUGAUUAAUCAUAAUGAUCUGCAUAGGUUAAUUUUGAUGGGACCCAAUAGGUUACCCUAGUUUGAUUAUCUUUAUACCUUGUUACCACUGAACUUUUUGGGUAGUACUUGCUAGUGCUUUAUAUGGUUUUGGGUAUGAAGAUACAUUACUCAUGAUUAUACUUUUGUUAUCCGUUGUUAUUUAUCGUUCAUGAUAAGAUCAUUAUGUUAAUUGGAACAUGGAGCGACCACCCGGGAAAACAGUGCUACCACAAGGGUAUAAUGAGACGCCCUUGGAUGAUUAAUUAGGAAAGCUAGUGGAGGACUACCUUACCCGAAAGGGGCAAGGGCAGUAGGGGAGUGGUCAGUGUAGGGAGACCCUCGGGAGGAUUUUGCUACGAUGGCGGUCCUGCAAGGGAAUUCCUGCAUUGGAGCUUCCUAUAAACUGUAGCGGGUUUUCUGAAGCUAGUGGAACUUUGUAAAGGCCUCGUAGUGUUACCCUGCCUCGCCUCCUCGGUAGAGGUGUAUGGGAAGUCGCGAUCCCUUGGCAGAUGGGUAACAUGACUUGUGGGUAAAGAUGCGCCACCUCUGCAGAGUGUAAAACUGGUAUACUAGCCGUGCUCACGGUCAUGAGCAGCUCGGACCCUCACAUGAUUAAAUUAUGGAACUUAAACUCAAUUUGUCAUAUGCAUUGCAUCGCAGGUGAGGUUGUUACUUUUGUUCUACUAUUUAAUUGGGUUGGUAUUUACUUAUACUUAGUAAUUGCUAAUAAAAUUUUGACCCACUUUAAAAGCAAUGCUCAGCUCUAACCAUCCUCUUUGGUAAGCCUUACACUUCACGUGAGCUCCCACCUUUGGCGAGUUCAUGCACAUUAUUCCCCACAACUUGUUGAGCGAUGAACGUAUGUGAGCUCACUCUUGCUGUCUCACACCCCCCCACAGGUCAAGAACAGGUACCGCAGGAUGAGGCGCGUGGAGGAUGCUGUGAUGAGUUCGUGAGUGGUCUAGGUCGUCGUCUCCCAGUCAACUUUGGGUUGCUGGACCGUUGUCUCCAUAUAAUGUAAUUAUUUAUUUUUGUAUAGAACUCCUGUUAUGUAGUAAAGUUGUCACACCCGGAUUUUAGGGGUCCAAAACCCGAGCGCGAACAUAAACACCAGGUGUGCUGGGACCAAGUCUCACACAUAUGAUGCAUAGUGGCACAGGAUCGAAUGUCACAUCUUUACUAUAUAACAGGAGUUCUAUACAAAAUAAAUAAGUAAUUACAUUAUAAGGAGACAACGGUCCAGCAACCCAAAGUUGACUGGGAGACGACGGCCUAGAUCUCUCACGAACACAUCACAGCAUCCUCCAUGCGCCUCAUCCUGCGGUACCUGUUCUUGACCUGUGGGGGGGUGUGAGACAGCAAGAGUGAGCUCACAUACGUUCAUCGCUCAACAAGUUGUGGGGAAUAAUGUGCAUGAACUCGCCAAAGGUGGGAGCUCACGUGAAGUGUAAGGCUUACCAAAGAGGAUGGUUAGAGCUGAGCAUUAUAUUGCUUUUAAAGUUGGUCAAAAUUUUAUUAGCAAUUACUAAGUAAAAUACCAACCCAAUUAAGUAGUAGAACAAAAGUAACAUCAUCACCUGCGAAUCUGCGAUGCAAUGCAUAUGACAAAUUGAAUUUAGUUCCAUAAAUUAAUCAUCAGAGAGUCCUGAGCUGCUCAUGACCGUGAGCUCGGCUAGUAUACCAGUUUUACACUCUGCAGAGGUGGUACCCUUUACCCACAAGUCAUGUUACCCAUCUGCCAAGGGAUCGCGACUUCCCAUACACCUCUACCGAGGAGGCGAGGCAGGGUAACACUACGAGGCCUUUACAAAGUUCCACUAGCUUCAGAAAACCCGCUACAGUUUAUAGGAAGCUCCAAUGCAGGAAUCCCUUGCAGGACCGCCAUCGCAGCAAAAUCCUCCCGAGGGCCUCCCUACACUGACCACUCCCCUACUGCCCUUGCCCCUUUCGGGUAAGGUAGUCCUCCACUAGCUUUCCUAAUUAAUCAGCCAAGGGCGUCCAUAAACCCUUGUGGUGGCACGUGUUUCUCAAGUUAAGCUCUAUGUUCCAAUUAACAUUUAAUGAUCUUGUCAUGAACAUAAAUAAAAUAACAACAUAACUGGAACAUAGAUAUAAUAAAAUAUUAACCCAAAACCAUAUAAAGCAGUAGCAGAACUACCCAAGUGAUUCAGGGGUAAACAAGGUAUUGAGAUAAAAAAAUCUAGGGUAACCUAUUAGGUCCCAUCAAAAUUAACCUAUGCAGAUCAUUAUGAUUAAUUAGAACAUGAGUGGGUAAAAGAAGUGAUCAAGGGCACAACUUGCCUCGGACUUGAGAUUCCAGGUACCAACUUGCUCUUCAGAUGACACGUGUCCUCACUGCUAAACGUAGCAAUACAGACAAACAUGGUAUAGACAAAAUGAACAUCACAUGAAACAUAUAAACAAAAUACACAGUAAUAAUCUACAUAUUAAAAUAGAAUCCUAGGAACAUGAAUCAUAAUUUUUGGAGUUAUAGAUUUUAAGUUAUGAAUUUUCAAAGGUUUCGUGUGUUUUAAAUAGAAUUAAGUGAGAAAUAAAUUUUAUUACUGUUUUCAUGACAAACCAGAGACUCUAAGUGAUAGAGAAUAAAAUUACAAAAUUUUAGGAACUGAAAUGAAGUGAUUUGGAGUUCAUAUGAAUUUUCUAUGAAAUAAACAAGUUCUAGCCUUUUAUUUUUACACUAAAAUUCCAUUUUCUAUUCAUUUAUUCGAUUUAAACGAUCUCUGGACUGGGCCUCAAAAUAUGAGAACAGCAGGGGGCUCGGGGCAAAAAUCCCCAAGGCACAGAGACAAGCCGUGCAGGACGGCGGGUUGGUUUCUCAUAAGCCUAGGGUUUCUUUAGCAAAAUGCCUGGCCGAAGGGUUAUUGACCAAUCUUGGCCGAUGGAUUAGAAACGGGUGGCACAGAUUAGAUCUAGCCAUCAAGUGACUCGGUGCGCGUCCUAGCCACUGGAUCAAGAUCGUGCGGUCGAGAAUAAGCCCAACCGAACCGGUACGUGGAAGCUAAUCAGAGCCGUUCAUCCCCAAUCCAAGGGCGCCAGUUCAUCUUCUUCCACUCGCUACUCCCACCAGGCGGACCACACGCCGAGCGGCACCAUGGACAGAGCCGAGUUCGCCGUACUAGCGGUCCCGCCCCACUGGUCACUCUCUCUUCACUACUCCCGAUCCUUGCCGCGGCCGAGCCAGGAAACCACCCAGAUGCACCGAGGAGGAAUCCAUCCGGGACCUCCAUCGUUUAUUUCGCGAUAGACGGCCACAGGCCCUUCUUCUUCCCAUCUGGCAACGACGCCGGUGACUUCCGCACCCCUCCCACGGCGGCGCCCAGAUCUCUGAAGCGACGAGUGCCCGCGAACACCCGCCCAAGGUUCUAGGGAAACAUCCGAACUCUAACGGGAGCAACAGAGGUGGAAUGCAUUCGUAAACAUGGCAGGAUGGCUUACCAGAGUUCAUGCCGUAAAGAAUUCCGACCACGCACCCAAGCGGUCCACGACGGAGCCAUGAUUCAGGCGAGAAAUCGACGGUGUUCUAGUGGAUCCCGCGCCCAGAGCUUCCACCAAACGCACGGACGGGCCUUCUCUUCUCCCCGAGCGAGGUGCGAGCCUCGCGUUGCAAGGCGCACUCGCCCGAGAUCUCCCUAGCCUGAUUUGUUUAUGGCGAUAACCAGCCGCGUUCACGUACUUAUACCCGAGGUCAGGUGCGGUGUUCGGUCUCAAGCGCCUAACGGCUGACGAGAUACGCGGCAGCAAGUCCGCCCAGUUCGCGCGGCAAGGGAUUUGGCCAAGGCCGCAAUGAACUGUUCCGCGAAAAUUCUUGGCAUCACGGCGCGAGGUAAACGAUGACCCAGACUAUCUAGGCCCACGUGUAGGUGAGUCGGAGCUAGCGCCAGAGUAAAGAGGCCGACGACGCGGGCCUAUAUUACAGAGACACAAUGAGGCGGUAAGGACGUGGCCCACAUGGCGGUGGAAGAGGAGACUGACCACUGGGGCCCCCGCGCAGAGAAAAACUCCAAAGUGCGUGCGGCAGGGAUGCUGGGCCGCGUGGGGGCAAAAUGCCCAAUUGGGCCGACCAGGGACACAUUUGGCCCAGGCGCUGUUUAGGAGUUCUUUUUUUGUUUAUUCCCCUAUUUUAUUUUCUGUUUUAAACUUUAAAUUUGUGAAUGUCCAAAUUCAAAUUUCUGUUUUGAAUUUUUCAGAUCCCAAUCACAACAUAAUCAUAAGGUGAAUAUAAAUCCUAUUAUUAUUAUUUAUCCUUCUUUCUAUUAUUUUAAUUCUAAAAAAAUGACUCUAUCACAAUUUUCUUUCACAUUUUUCUGUUUUAUAUUUAUAAUUCAAGUUAUGAUUCUUUUUUUAAAAAAAAUGCAUCACAACAAAAUCACCAACAUGACAUACACAUUCCUGUAUUUAUUUAUUUGUUAUUUGACCAAUAUAAUUCCAUCAAUUGAAUAUGCACAAAUUAAAAAAAUCAAAUAAUCUCCAAAGAAUUUUCUAUAAAUGCAUGUACUUAUUUAUUUUAUUAUUUUUAUCUUAUACAAAUUUUAGGGCUUUACAAAUUCUACCCCCCUAACAGAAAUCUCGUCCUCGAGAUUUGUAAGAUAAGGGAUAUAGAGAGAUUGGUUGUAAUAUAGCUUUUAGUUUCUAGUUGGUACCAAAAUCAAGAGAUUUUUUUUAUACAAAUGAGUAGGUGAUUAUGAAGGCAUGGGUAUAUAUGUACAACCACCAAAUGUGUAAAACAAUGUCUUUAAAGCAUGGAUAGGUUGGGUAGGACAUAGUAGGGUAAGGAAGGACUUCAUAAUGCAUAGUGGAUCUUGAUUCCUUUGGAAGUAUGGCUUGAUUCUUAUUAUUCCUCAACGAGUUUGAUCUCCUUCUUCUCGAGUCUUGAUGUCUUCAUCCGGGUUUGGGACAAGAGGUUAAGAUAGAUCUGUAGGCAACAGAUGGGUAGAGGGUUUAGUAGGUAGCUAUAUGAUAGAUGGGAUUAGUUAUGUAACCUGUUUUGUAGGUCAAGUUAUUAGGUGUGGCCAAAUUGAUCUAAGUCACCAAUUUAGGCGUAUGUGAAUUAGGAGUAUGGCCUUAUCUUUUGUAACAGCAUUAAGUAACUCAAUCUAGCUUAGAUCAUAAUAAAUUAGAUAGAAUCCAGAUUAGGUUGGUAUGACUAGAUUAAACUAGUUAAGAUUAGAUAGAUCUACCGAGGUGGGAUAAAUAUUAUUAGGAUAUGCUAGAAUCUUUUAAGAAGGAUGGACAUUGUUUAGGCUAGAUAUUUUAAUGAGUGAUAAUCUAAGUUGAUUAGUUAUCUUAUGAAUUUUUUUUAUUUAUAUUUAUGCCUAUAUGUAUAUGCAGAUGUAAUUGUGGACAUUACUCCACAACUCAUCACACUCAAUCAAAGAUCCAAAUUAGACAUGUAUCAUAAGAACAAACAUUCAAGCAUACAAAUAUUUACAAAAAUACUUUUGAUUUUGUUCCUAAGAGUGGGUCUCCUAUCCCUAAAGGUCACUUUAGGUACGGAAUUUCAAAGUGUGAAAUCCACAUUUGCCUUUUAGAAAGAAAAGGUAAGAAUAAUCAGAGUGAAGCGGAAAUAGAUGAGAAAAGAUUAAGAAAAGCUUAGUAAAGAAUCAGAGUAGCAAAGGUAAGUAAGUAAUGAUUGUCCAGUUCUAUCUAGGUUUCGUCCUACAGUCAACAUUCCUCUGAUACCACUUCUGUCACACCCGGAUUUUAGGGGUCCAAAACCCGAGCGCGAACAUAAACACCAGGUGUGCUGGGACCAAGUCUCACACAUAUGAUGCAUAGUGGCACAGGAUCGAAUGUCACAUCUUUACUAUAUAACAGGAGUUCUAUACAAAAUAAAUAAGUAAUUACAUUAUAAGGAGACAACGGUCCAGCAACCCAAAGUUGACUGGGAGACGACGGCCUAGAUCUCUCACGAACACAUCACAGCAUCCUCCAUGCGCCUCAUCCUGCGGUACCUGUUCUUGACCUGUGGGGGGUGUGAGACAGCAAGAGUGAGCUCACAUACGUUCAUCGCUCAACAAGUUGUGGGGAAUAAUGUGCAUGAACUCGCCAAAGGUGGGAGCUCACGUGAAGUGUAAGGCUUACCAAAGAGGAUGGUUAGAGCUGAGCAUUGCUUUUAAAGUUGGUCAAAAUUUUAUUAGCAAUUACUAAGUAAAAUACCAACCCAAUUAAGUAGUAGAACAAAAGUAACAUCAUCACCUGCGAAUCUACGAUGCAAUGCAUAUGACAAAUUGAAUUUAGUUCCAUAAAUUAAUCAUCAGAGAGUCCUGAGCUGCUCAUGACCGUGAGCUCGGCUAGUAUACCAGUUUUACACUCUGCAGAGGUGGUACCCUUUACCCACAAGUCAUGUUACCCAUCUGCCAAGGGAUCGCGACUUCCCAUACACCUCUACCGAGGAGGCGAGGCAGGGUAACACUACGAGGCCUUUACAAAGUUCCACUAGCUUCAGAAAACCCGCUACAGUUUAUAGGAAGCUCCAAUGCAGGAAUCCCUUGCAGGACCGCCAUCGCAGCAAAAUCCUCCCGAGGGCCUCCCUACACUGACCACUCCCCUACUGCCCUUGCCCCUUUCGGGUAAGGUAGUCCUCCACUAGCUUUCCUAAUUAAUCAGCCAAGGGCGUCCAUAAACCCUUGUGGUGGCACGUGUUUCUCAAGUUAAGCUCUAUGUUCCAAUUAACAUUUAAUGAUCUUGUCAUGAACAUAAAUAAAAUAACAACAUAACUGGAACAUAGAUAUAAUAAAAUAUUAACCCAAAACCAUAUAAAGCAGUAGCAGAACUACCCAAGUGAUUCAGGGGUAAACAAGGUAUUGAGAUAAAAAAAUCUAGGGUAACCUAUUAGGUCCCAUCAAAAUUAACCUAUGCAGAUCAUUAUGAUUAAUUAGAACAUGAGUGGGUAAAAGAAGUGAUCAAGGGCACAACUUGCCUCGGACUUGAGAUUCCAGGUACCAACUUGCUCUUCAGAUGACACGUGUCCUCACUGCUAAACGUAGCAAUACAGACAAACAUGGUAUAGACAAAAUGAACAUCACAUGAAACAUAUAAACAAAAUACACAGUAAUAAUCUACAUAUUAAAAUAGAAUCCUAGGAACAUGAAUCAUAAUUUUUGGAGUUAUAGAUUUUAAGUUAUGAAUUUUCAAAGGUUUCGUGUGUUUUAAAUAGAAUUAAGUGAUAAAUAAAUUUUAUUACUGUUUUCAUGACAAACCAGAGACUCUAAGUGAUAGAGAAUAAAAUUACAAAAUUUUAGGAACUGAAAUGAAGUGAUUUGGAGUUCAUAUGAAUUUUCUAUGAAAUAAACAAGUUCUAGCCUUUUAUUUUUACACUAAAAUUCCAUUUUCUAUUCAUUUAUUCGAUUUAAACGAUCUCUGGACUGGGCCUCAAAAUAUGAGAACAGCAGGGGGCUCGGGGCAAAAAUCCCCAAGGCACAGAGACAAGCCGUGCAGGACGGCGGGUUGGUUUCUCAUAAGCCUAGGGUUUCUUUAGCAAAAUGCCUGGCCGAAGGGUUAUUGACCAAUCUUGGCCGAUGGAUUAGAAACGGGUGGCACAGAUUAGAUCUAGCCAUCAAGUGACUCGGUGCGCGUCCUAGCCACUGGAUCAAGAUCGUGCGGUCGAGAAUAAGCCCAACCGAACCGGUACGUGGAAGCUAAUCAGAGCCGUUCAUCCCCAAUCCAAGGGCGCCAGUUCAUCUUCUUCCACUCGCUACUCCCACCAGGCGGACCACACGCCGAGCGGCACCAUGGACAGAGCCGAGUUCGCCGUACUAGCGGUCCCGCCCCACUGGUCACUCUCUCUUCACUACUCCCGAUCCUUGCCGCGGCCGAGCCAGGAAACCACCCAGAUGCACCGAGGAGGAAUCCAUCCGGGACCUCCAUCGUUUAUUUCGCGAUAGACGGCCACAGGCCCUUCUUCUUCCCAUCUGGCAACGACGCCGGUGACUUCCGCACCCCUCCCACGGCGGCGCCCAGAUCUCUGAAGCGACGAGUGCCCGCGAACACCCGCCCAAGGUUCUAGGGAAACAUCCGAACUCUAACGGGAGCAACAGAGGUGGAAUGCAUUCGUAAACAUGGCAGGAUGGCUUACCAGAGUUCAUGCCGUAAAGAAUUCCGACCACGCACCCAAGCGGUCCACGACGGAGCCAUGAUUCAGGCGAGAAAUCGACGGUGUUCUAGUGGAUCCCGCGCCCAGAGCUUCCACCAAACGCACGGACGGGCCUUCUCUUCUCCCCGAGCGAGGUGCGAGCCUCGGGUUGCAAGGCGCACUCGCCCGAGAUCUCCCUAGCCUGAUUUGUUUAUGGCGAUAACCAGCCGCGUUCACGUACUUAUACCCGAGGUCAGGUGCGGUGUUCGGUCUCAAGCGCCUAACGGCUGACGAGAUACGCGGCAGCAAGUCCGCCCAGUUCGCGCGGCAAGGGAUUUGGCCAAGGCCGCAAUGAACUGUUCCGCGAAAAUUCUUGGCAUCACGGCGCGAGGUAAACGAUGACCCAGACUAUCUAGGCCCACGUGUAGGUGAGUCGGAGCUAGCGCCAGAGUAAAGAGGCCGACGACGCGGGCCUAUAUUACAGAGACACAAUGAGGCGGUAAGGACGUGGCCCACAUGGCGGUGGAAGAGGAGACUGACCACUGGGGCCCCCGCGCAGAGAAAAACUCCAAAGUGCGUGCGGCAGGGAUGCUGGGCCGCGUGGGGGCAAAAUGCCCAAUUGGGCCGACCAGGGACACAUUUGGCCCAGGCGCUGUUUAGGAGUUCUUUUUUUGUUUAUUCCCCUAUUUUAUUUUCUGUUUUAAACUUUAAAUUUGUGAAUGUCCAAAUUCAAAUUUCUGUUUUGAAUUUUUCAGAUCCCAAUCACAACAUAAUCAUAAGGUGAAUAUAAAUCCUAUUAUUAUUAUUUAUCCUUCUUUCUAUUAUUUUAAUUCUAAAAAAAUGACUCUAUCACAAUUUUCUUUCACAUUUUUCUGUUUUAUAUUUAUAAUUCAAGUUAUGAUUCUUUUUUUAAAAAAAAUGCAUCACAACAAAAUCACCAACAUGAGAUACACAUUCCUGUAUUUAUUUAUUUGUUAUUUGACCAAUAUAAUUCCAUCAAUUGAAUAUGCACAAAUUAAAAAAAAUCAAAUAAUCUCCAAAGAAUUUUCUAUAAAUGCAUGUACUUAUUUAUUUUAUUAUUUUUAUCUUAUACAAAUUUUAGGGCUUUACAAAAGUUGUGACAUUCGAUCCUGUGCCAUGAUUCAUCAUAUGUGUGAGACUUGGUCCCAGCACACCUGGUGUUUAUGUUCGCGCCCGGGUUUUGGAUCCCUAAAAUCCGGGUGUGACAGGUACCCUCAAGACUCCUAAUUGUCAGCUGGUAACCCCCAUCAGCAUAAAGCUGCAAAGGCCUGAUGAGUGCGAUUAAGUUAGGGAUGAGUCCAUUCGAGCGACUCGAUCAUGCCUCGCCCGAGCCUAGCCUCGGACAAGGGCAGCCGACCCCGGGAGAUUUCCGUUUCGCCCGAGGCCCCCCUCCAACGGCAGACACAUCUCCGGCUCGCCCGAGGCCCUGCCUUCGCUAAGAAGCAACCCUGACUAAAUCGCCGCACCGACCGACCGAAUCGCAGGAGCAUUUAAGGCAAAGGUGGCCUGACACCUUUAUCCUGACGCACGCCACCCGGCAGAGCCGAAGUGACCGCCGUCACUUCGCCGCUCCACUGACCGGCCUGACAAAAGGACAGCGCCGCCUGCGCCACUCCGACUGCAGUGCCACUUGACAGAGUGAGACUGACAGGCAGUCAGGCCCUGCCAGAGGCACCAUAGGAAGCUCCGCUCCGCCCGACCCAGGGCUCGGACUCGAGCUAAGUCCCGGAAGACGGCGAACUCCGCUCCGCCCGACCCAGGGCUCGGACUCGGGCUAGGUCCCGGAAGACGGCGAACUCCGCUCCGCCCGACCCAGGGCUCGGACUCGGGCUAGGUCCCGGAAGACGGUGAACUCCGCUCCGCCCGACCCAGGGCUCGGACUCGGGCUAGGUCCCGGAAGACGGCGAACUCCGCUCCGCCCGACCCAGGGCUCGGACUCGGGCUAAGUCCCGGAAGACGACGAACUCCGCUCCGCCCGACCCAGGGCUCGGACUCGGGCUUAGCCCCGGAAGACGACGAACUCCGCUUCGCCCGACCCCAAGGCUCGGACUUCGCCCUGGCCUCUGCCGAACGACCUCCGCCUCGCCCGACCCAGGGGCUCGGGCUCGGCCUCGGCCAUGGAAGACAGACUCGACCUCGGCUUCGGAGGAGCCUCCACGUCGCCCAACCUAGGGCGCAGGCCAGCCACGUCAACAGGAAGCACCAUCAUCACCCUACCCCGAGCUGACUCGGGCCGUAGAGAACAAGACCGGAGUCCCAUCUGGCUAGCUCCGCCAGAUAGGCAAUGAUGGCGCCCCGCAUGCUCUGUGACGACGGCGGCUCUCAGCUCUCUUACGGAAGCAGGAGGACGUCAGCAAGGACUCAACCGCUCUGACAGCUAUCCCUCCGCCAGGCUCCGUCGCUCCUCCGACGGCCACGACAUCACACCAGCUGGGUGCCAAAAUCUCUCCGGCUGCCACAUCGGCAUGUACUUAGGGCGCUAACUCUCCCCCGCUAGACACGUAGCACUCUGCUACACCCCCAUUGUACAUCUGGAUCCUCUCCUUACGCCUAUAAAAGGACCAGGGCCCUCUUAGAGGAGGUUGGCCGCGCGGGGUCGAGGACGGGACAGGCGCUCUCUUGGGGCCGCUCGCUUCCCUCUCCCGCGUGGACGCUUGUAACCCCCUACUGCAAGCGCACCCGACCUGGGCGCGGGACGAACACGAAGGCCGCGGGAUUCCCACCUCUCUCACGCCGGUCACCGGCCGCCUCGCUCCUUCCCCCCUUCGCGCUCGCCCACGUGCUCGACCCAUCUGGGCUGGGGCACGCGGCGACACUCACUCGUCGGCCCGAGGGACCCCCCAGUCUCGAAACGCCGACAGUUGGCGCGCCAGGUAGGGGCCUGCUGCGUGUUGACGAACAGCUUCCCGUCAAGCUCCAGAUGGGCAGUCUCCAGCAACCUCUCCGACCCGGGAUGGUGCUCCGUUUCGGGAGUCUUGAGUUCAUGUCCUUCGACGGCAGCUACGACAUGAUACUCCUUCCACCGCCGCGCGACAACGACAAUGGCGGUCGACAGCCCGCCCGCCGGCGGCGGAAUCGACGACGUCUUCCCCGCGUGGUGGAAGAACAACAUUCGAGUUCGCCCCGUCCUCUCCCCCGCCAACGGAGGAGGAGGCGGGGCAACCAAGGCCAAGCGGGAGGCCGCGCCUCGUCGGCUGUCGAGCGAGUCGACGUCCCCAGCGCCCCAACGGGGGGCGCGUCGGGCGUCGACCUCGCGUUUGAGACGAAGGCGAGCGCUGUCUCCCCGCGACACGCCAAUCCCGAGCAAGUGGACGACGCCAGUGCGCUCGCGGAGAGCUUGCAGGAAGUCGCCCUCGUACCUGAGACGACGGUGCAAUCAGUCCCCGACAUGACUAUGUCGCUGCUCGUCGACCGAAAGGUACCGACCGAUUCCCAUCCUACGUCAUUUGGACUCAACCACAACCCGCCUAGCGACCUUGCUUUGGCGGGCGCCCUCGUAAAGGCGAGAUCAAACCCUCUGGGGUUUCGCAUGCGGUCGCCUUGGGACCGGCUGACGGACGUCUCGACCUACGGGCCCUCUGGGUCCGAGGAAGAUGACGACCCCAACAUCUGUUGGGAUUUCUCUGGAUUUGGCAACCCCAGUGCCAUGCGGGACUUCAUGACCGCAUGUGACUACUGCCUCUCUGACUGUUCCGACGGUAGCCGCAGCCUCGACGACGAGGACUGCGGCCCAAGCCGCGAAUGUUUCCACGUCGAUCUAGGGGAUCCCUCCGAAGGCAAUCAUCUCGGCAUGCCGGAGGGCGGUGAUCUCCCUAGGUCGGUGCCUCGCGCUGACAUCCCACGGAAGCUAGCUGUGGUCCCCGUUCCGGCGGGGGGUCACGACCCACAGCUCGAGCAAGUCCGAGGGGCGCAGGCCAGGCUCGACGAGGGAGCAGGAGCGCUUGAGCCGAUCCGCCGGGACGUCGGGCAGGCAUGGGCAGGCCAACCCCCGGCCGGAGAAAUACGUCACCUGCCCCAGGGUCUCCAGCACCGCGUCGCCGACGGCGUCAGGGUCAGGCCGCCACCCGCAUCCAGUGGGGUCGGUCAGAACCUGGCUGCAGCAGCGAUGCUUCUCCGCGCGAUGCCGGAGCCAUCAACCACCGAGGGUCGGCGAAUCCAGGGAGAGCUCAAGAAUCUCCUGGAAGGCGCUGUGGUCCGACGGGCCGAGAGCUCUGCCUCCCGAAGGCAGGGAUACCCCUCGGAACCUCAUGCCGCGACUUCCCGAUUCAUGCGGGAAGCCUCGGUCUACACCGGGCGCACGCGCAACACCGCGCCUGCGGCCCCGGGCCACCUCGGCAACGAGCACCAUCAUCGCGACCGUCAGGCCCACCUCGACGAGAGGGUGUGCCGAGGUUACCACCCCAGGCGUGGGGGACGCUACGACAGCGGGGAGGAUCGGAGUCCCUCGCCCGAACCACCCGGUCCGCAGGCCUUCAGCCGGGCCAUCCGACGGGCACCGUUCCCGACCCGGUUCCGACCCCCGACUACUAUCACAAAGUACUCGGGGGAAACGAGACCGGAACUGUAGCUCGCGGACUACCGCCUGGCCUGCCAACUGGGUGGAACGGACGACGACAACCUCAUCAUCCGCAACCUCCCCCUGUUCCUCUCCGACACCGCUCGCGCCUGGUUGGAGCACCUGCCUCCGGGGCAGAUCUCCAACUGGGAUGACCUGGUCCAAGCCUUCGCCGGCAAUUUCUAGGGCACGUACGUGCGCCCCGGGAAUUCCUGGGACCUCCGAAGCUGCCGGCAGCAGCCGGGAGAGUCUCUCCGGGACUACAUCCGACGAUUCUCGAAGCAGCGCACCGAGCUGCCCAACAUCACCGACUCGGAUGUCAUCGGCGCGUUCCUUGUCGGCACCACCUGCCGCGACCUGGUGAGUAAGUUGGGUCGCAAGACCCCCACCAGGGCGAGCGAGCUGAUGGACAUCGCCACCAAGUUCUCCUCUGGCCAGGAGGCGGUCGAAGCUAUCUUCCGAAAGGACAAGCAGCCCCAGGGCCGCCCAUCGGAAGAUGCUCCCGAGGCGUCUACUCCGCGCGGCGCCAAGAAGAAAGGCAAGAAGAAGUCGCAAGCGAAACGCGACGCCGCCGACGCGGACCUUGUCGCCGCCGCCGAGUACAAGAACCCUCGGAAGCCCCCCGGAGGUGCUAACCUCUUCGACAAGAUGCUCAAGGAGCCGUGCCCCUAUCAUCAGGGGCCCGUCAAGCACACCCUUGAGGAGUGCGUCAUGCUUCGGUGCCACUUCCACAGGGCCGGGACACCCGCGGAGGGUGGCAGGGCCCGCGACGACGACAAGAAGGAAGAUCACCAAGCAGGAGAGUUCCCCGAGGUCCGCGACUGCUUCAUGAUCUACGGUGGGCAUGCGGCGAAUGCCUCGGCUCGGCAUCGCAAGCAAGAGCGGCGGGAGGUCUGCUCGGUGAAGGUGGCGGCGCCAGUCUACCUAGACUGGUCCGACAAGCCCAUCACCUUCGACCAAGCUGACCACCCCGACCACGUGCCGAGCCCGGGGAAAUACCCGCUCGUCGUCGACCCCGUCGUCGGCGACGUCAGGCUCACCAAGGUCCUUAUGGACGGGGGCAGCUGCCUCAACAUCAUCUACGCCGAGACCCUCAGGCUCCUGCGCAUCGAUCUGUCCUCCGUCCGAGCAGGCGCUGCGCCCUUCCACGGGAUCAUUCCCGGGAAGCGCGUCCAGCCCCUCGGACGACUCGAUCUUCCCGUCUGCUUCGGAACGCCCUCCAACUUCCGAAGGGAGACUCUGACGUUCGAGGUGGUCGGGUUCCGAGGAACCUACCACGCGGUACUGGGGAGGCCAUGCUACGCGAAGUUUAUGGCCGUCCCCAGCUACACCUACUUGAAGCUCAAGAUGCUGGGCCCCAACGGGGUCAUCACCGUCGGCCCCACGUACAAACACGCGUUCGAAUGCGACGUGGAGUGUGUGGAGUACGCCGAGGCCCUCGCCGAGUCCGAGGCCCUCAUCGCCGACCUGGAAAGCCUCUCCAAAGAGGUUGCAGACGUGAAGCGCCAUGCCGGCAACUUCGAGCCAGUGGAGACGGUCAAGGUCGUCCCCCUCGACCCCAGUGGCGACGCCUCCAAGCAGAUCCGGAUCGGUUCCGGGCUCGACCCCAAAUAGGAAGCAGUGCUCGUCGACUUUCUCCGCGCGAACGCCGACGUCUUCGCGUGGAGUCCCUCGGACAUGCCCGGCAUACCAAGGGAUGUCGCCGAGCACUCGCUGGAUAUCCGGGCCGGAGCCCGACCCGUCAAGCAGCCUCUGCGCCGAUUCGACGAGGAGAAGCGCAGAGUGAUAGGCGAGGAGAUCCACAAGCUAACGGCAGCCGGGUUCAUCAAAGAGGUAUUCCAUCCCGAAUGGCUUGCCAACCCUGUGCUUGUGAGAAAGAAAGGGGGAAAUGGUGGAUGUGUGUAGACUACACUGGUCUCAACAAAGCAUGUCCGAAGGUUCCCUACCCUCUGUCUCGCAUCGAUCAAAUCGUGGAUUCCACUGCUGGGUGCGAAACCCUGUCUUUCCUCGACGCCUACUCAGGGUAUCACCAAAUCAGGAUGAAAGAGUCCGACCAGCUCGCGACUUCUUUCAUCACACCCUUCGGCAUGUACUGCUAUGUCACCAUGCAGUUCGGUUUGAGGAAUGCGGGCGCGACGUAUCAGCGGUGCAUGAACCAUGUGUUCGGCGAACACAUCGGUCGCACGGUCGAGGCCUACGUCGAUGACAUCGUAGUCAAGACAAGGAAAGCUUCCGACCUCCUCUCCGACCUUGAAGUGACAUUCCGAUGUCUCAAAGCGAAAGGCGUCAAGCUCAAUCCCGAGAAGUGUGUCUUCGGGGUGCCCCGGGGCAUGCUCUUGGGGUUCAUCGUCUCCGAGCGGGGCAUCGAAGCCAACCCGGAGAAGAUCGCAGCCAUCACCAGCAUGGGGCCCAUCAAGGACUUAAAAGGCGUACAGAGGGUCAUGGGAUGUCUCGCGGCCCUGAGCCGCUUCAUCUCACGCCUCGGCGAAAGAGGCCUGCCUCUGUACCGCCUCUUAAGGAAGGCCGAGUGCUUCGCUUGGACCCCUGAGGCCGAGGAAGCUCUCGGGAACCUGAAGGCGCUCCUCACAAAGGCGCCUAUCUUGGUGCCUCCAGCUGACGGAGAAGCCCUCUUGGUCUACGUCGCCGCGACCACUCAGGUGGUUAGCGCCGCGAUUGUGGUCGAGAGGCAAGAAGAGGGGCAUGCAUUGCCCGUUCAGAGGCCAGUUUACUUCGUCAGCGAGGUACUGUCCGAGACCAAGAUCCGCUACCCACAAGUUCAGAAGCUGUUGUAUGCAGUGAUCCUGACGAGGCGGAAGUUGUGACACUACUUCGAGUCUCAUCCGGUAACUGUGGUGUCAUCCUUCCCCCUGAGGGAGAUCAUCCAGUGCCGAGAGGCCUCGGGCAGGAUUGCAAAUUGGGCGGUGGAAAUCAUGGGCGAGACAAUCUCGUUCGCCCCUCGAAAGGCCAUCAAGUCCCAGGUAUUGGCGGACUUCGUAGCCGAAUGGGUCGACACCCAGCUACCGACGGCUCCGAUCCAACCGGAGCUCUGGACCAUGUUUUUCGACGGGUCGCUAAUGAAGACGGGAGCCGGCGCGGGCCUACUCUUCAUCUCGCCCCUCGGGAAACACCUACGCUAUGUGCUACGCCUCCAUUUCCCGGCGUCCAACAAUGUGGCUGAGUACGAGGCUCUGGUCAACGGGUUGCGGAACGCCAUCGAGCUAGGGGUCAGGCGCCUCGACGCCCGCGGUGACUCGCAGCUCGUCAUCGACCAAGUCAUGAAGAACUCCCACUGCCGCGACCCGAAGAUGGAGGCCUAUUGCGAUGAGGUUCGGCGCCUGGAAGACAAGUUCUACGGGCUCGAGCUUAACCACAUCGCUCGGCGCUACAACGAGACUGCGGACGAGCUGGCAAAAAUAGCCUCGGGGCGAACAACGGUUCCCCCGGACGUCUUCUCCCGGGAUCUGCAUCAACCCUCCGUCAAGAUCGACGACACGCCCGAGCCUGAGGCGCCCUCGGUCCAGCCCGAGGUACCCUCGGCACAGCCCGAGGCACCCUCAGCUCGGCCCGAGGCGCCCUCGGUUCAGCCCGAGGUACCCUCGGCCUCCGAGGGCGAAGCACUGCGCAUCGAGGAGGAGCGGAGCGGGGCCACGCCUGAUCAGAAUUGGCAGACCCCGUACCUACAAUAUCUCCGCCAAGGAGAGCUACCCCUCGACCGAGGCGAGGCUCGGCGGGUAGCGCGACGCGCCAAGUCGUUCGUCUUGCUGGGCGAUGAGAAGGAGCUCUAUCACCGCAGCCCCUCGGGCAUCCUCCAGCGAUGCAUCUCCAUCGCCGAAGGUCAGGAACUCCUGCAAGAGAUACACUCGGGCGCUUGCGACCAUCACGCAGCGCCUCGGGCCCUUGUCGGGAAUGCUUUCCGGCAAGGCUUCUACUGGCCAACGGCGGUGGCUGACGCCACUAGAAUUGUCCGCACCUGCGAAGGGUGUCAAUUCUAUGUGAAGCAGACCCACCUGCCCGCUCAGGCUCUGCAGACGAUACCCAUCACCUGGCCCUUUGCUGUGUGGGGUCUGGACCUCGUCGGCCCCUUGCAGAAGGCGCCCGGGGGCUACACGCACCUGCUGGUCGCCAUCAACAAAUUCUCCAAGUGGGUCGAGGUCCGACCUCUGAACAGCAUCAGGUCCGAGCAGGCGGUGACGUUCUUCACCAACAUCAUCCAUCGCUUCGGGGUCCCGAACUCCAUCAUCACCGACAACGGUACCCAGUUCACCGGCAGAAAAUUCUUGGACUUCUGCGAGGAUCACCACAUCCGGGUGGACUGGGCCGCCGUGGCUCAUCCCAUGACGAAUGGGCAAGUAGAGCGUGCCAACGGCAUGAUUCUACAAGGGCUCAAGCCUCGGAUUUACAACGACCUCAACAAGUUCGGCAAGCGAUGGAUGAAGGAACUCCCCUCGGUGGUCUGGAGCCUGAGGACAACGCCGAGCCGAGCCACGGGUUUCACGCCGUUCUUCCUGGUCUACGGGGCCGAGGCCGUCUUGCCCACUGACCUGGAAUACGGCUCCCCGAGGACGAGGGCCUACAGCGAUCAAAGCAACCAAGCUAGCCGAGAAGACUCGCUGGACCAGCUGGAAGAGGCUCGGGACAAGGCCUUACUACACUCGGCGCGGUACCAGCAGUCCCUGCGACGCUACCACGCCCGAGGGGUCCGGCCCCGAGACCUCCAGGUGGGCGACCUGGUGCUUCGGCUGCGGCAAGACGCCCGAGGGAGGCACAAGCUCACGCCCCCCUGGGAGGGGCCAUUCGUCAUCGCCAAAGUUCUGAAGCCCAGAACGUACAAGCUGGCCAACAGUCAAGGCGAGGUCUACGGCAACGCUUGGAACAUCCAACAUCUACGUCGCUUCUACCCUUAAGAUGUUUUCAAGUUGUUCAUAUACCUCGCACCCACGCAAAGUUUAGUCAUCAAGGAAGGGUCGGCCUCGCCUCGGCAAAGCCCGACCCUCCCUCGGGGGCUAAAAGGGGGGAACCCCCUCUGCGUUGAAAUUUUCCUCGAAAAAAGAUCUCUUCUGCCAGAAUAUCUUUCGUGCUUUCUGACUACUUCGAAAAGUGGAUCCUGAAAACGACGGAGUACACGUAAGCAGCCAAGGCUGACCGAGCCGAGGGACUCCUACGCCUCCAGGAUACGGAUACCUCACUCAUCACCUUCUGCGAUAAGUAACUCGCGUUCGGAUAAAGUGAUUCCGCGGACCGAACAAGUCUUCACGUUCGGAAGCUCUUCUGCCGAAGCGAUCCUUCGAGCCUUCUCGACUGAGUCGGUGACAGGGCCUCAUGGACGGGUAAAAGUGCGCGUAAGCGGCAAGGCCGACCGAGCCGAGGGACUCCCACGCCUCCGGGAUACGGAUACCUCACUCAUCACCUUCCGCGAGAAGCAACUCUCGCUCGCACAAACAUCCCUGUUACCGAUAAAAAAGUCCAGAUACUCGAAACAAGAGGAAAGGAGACGCAGCUUUACAACACAGCGAGGGUGUGUAUUCUGGCCUCGGCGGCCGCAGAAGGCACACGCUACAAGACACUCUGAUCCUGCAGGCUCGGGUCUUGACGCUGGAAGGGGGCAGUAGCACCCUCGGCAUCGACGACGCCUUCAGCGAGGUCCGACCUAGCCUCGGACGGCGACGCGGUCCAGGGAUCCCCACUCUGGAGGACGACGUCAUCGCCACGCCCGGACAAUCGCUGCCAGGGACUUCUCCGGGAAUCCGGCCCGAGCAGGCGGCUCGGCUGGUUACCCCUGGGGCCUCGGCCAACCAUCUCCCAAGGGCGCCAGCCCGACCCGAGGCCUCGGCUGAUCAACUCCGGCGUCGGUCCCGCUAACGGACAACCUGGCUAGGCUCCGGCCAACCAGGUUUCAUUUUCGAGCCAACUCCGCCUCUGUUCAUGCUGAUAUCGCUACCCCUGGCCUCGGCUCGUCGAAGAGCGGCCAAGGGGUCCCUUUAACUAAGCUAGAGGAGCCUCAGACAACAAGGCCGACCGAGCCGAGGGACUCCUACGCCUCCGGGAUACGGAUACCUCACUCGUCACCUUGACACGGGGCGACUCAUGCUUGGUAAAGCGGUUCAGAUAAUCAACAGGUGAGUCUUAGUGCUCGAAAAUGAGGAAAAAACACGGCUCCGUGCCAAAAUUACAUACACGUUCAGGCCUCGACAGCCAUAAUGAACAAAAACAGUGGCAUUCAAAAUGCCAUUACAAACGGAACUCUGGUUCCGUCCCCCGCGGGUAUGAGCAACCUCGAGCCUGCGGGGCGACGAACGUCGGGGGACCUGCCAGCGACCUCUGCAGCAGCAGCCAUGGUCCCGGGUGGACGCGGCCACCGGAGGGCUCUCGUUCGCGGUCCCGCUCAAGGGACGCGAACCAGCUAUUAAAGCCAAAGAGCAGGCCGCUCCCAAGCGCACCGGCAGGUCCUCGCUGCCGUCCUCGCCGCGAAUGCGAGGGAGAGGGCGGAAUGUUGCAUCCUAGCUGGGUAGCAACAGUUCGCCUUCCCCGGCAUGGCUGGAGGACGUCUCCGCCGCAGGGCUGGAGGGCGAUUGCCACCACCAGAAGCUGGAAGAAGAGGUGGCCCGCCGACCCGCACAGGAGGUAGAGCCCGGGCUCGCCUCGCUCCCCGCCCCAGCGAGGAUGACGAACACCCUCGAUGCUGAGGGCGGGAUCGGGAUCACAGCCCGGCUUGCCUCUCCCCAUCCAGGAGCUGGAGGUCACCGUCUUGGGUGACCACCAGCGGAGGGGAGCAACCGGGCUGUGUGAUGAAAAUCCUUGAAGCCGAACGAUGGCUGAAAGGUACCAACUCCCACGGAGUUGCGUUCCUCCAACGAUGAGGCGAAAAGAUGGCGGGUAUCCCCCAUCCGGGGGCUUGGAAGGUGGAAAGACGCGAUGCAUAAGGGAGCGAGAAGACAUGGUCGCCUUCCGAAAGGGGUCGCCCUCCUUUUAAAGGCAACUCUCCCUACUUGCGCCCCCAAUCGUCACGGGCUGAGUCUUCUCCAACACGCUCCAAGGCCCUCCCCUGCGGCGCGGGGGCUGGGUCCCGCAUGUCAUGCAAACCGGCUCGGAGCAGAAGAAGCCAAACCGCCGCGCGUGGUGCACACAACCGCCCAGCGGUUACAAGUGACCUUCCACUUUUGCCCAGACCAACGGGCGAAAGAGGCGGGCAGCCAUGCAGGCGGCAUGCAACCGCGCCAAGUGGACGCGCUUCUCCGACUCCCGACACGCCCAGCAUGGAGGCCCAGGCCCACGCGUCACGUAACCGGCGCGCCGGAUGCUGCGUGCAAGCGACUACACCGCCACUUGUGCCACCACCGCGCCUCUUCGGUUGCGGAACCAAUACCGUGACUCGAGGCGACCCAGCACACGACCCAGCAGCGCCAGCCUAGCGCGGCGGUCAAUGCGGUCAAAAAUGGGCCGGCAGUAAUGACGGUGGCAGGCGGGCGGGAGCAGCGGUCGCGUCGUCAGCCUAGCUCACGUCCCAUCCGGGGGCAGCAAGAGAACCCCCUCUCACGGCGUGAAGACAACACGCCCGUGAUCCGUUCCUCGAACGGCUCGCGCACGCGCGACGGCCGCCCCGCCAACCACUCGCCCCGUCGCAUUAACUCCGCGGCGGGACAGGCGACACCUAUGGCAGGAGAAGCGGGCGACGCUUCGCCUUCGCCGUAAUAACCACGCCAAAAAAGGUACGCCGCGUCGUUCGAUUUCGUAUCCUUUUCCUUUUUUCCUCUUUCUCUCUCUUGCAACAGGGACCGGGAAAGGGGGAUACCCCGAAAAGGAUCCUUCCCCGUGAAGGAACCGGGCUCCAAGCCUCCCUACUGAUCAGAGGUUCGAAGGCUGGCCCCUGAGGGGUUCAACAGCCGCCUCAGAUCGCGUGGGCCCUACACCCACUACUGGUCAGAGGUUCGAAGGCCGGCCCCCCGAAGGGUUCCACGGCCGCCUCAGGCUACUCGGGCUCCGCGCCCAUUACUGAUCAGGGGUUCGAAGGCUGGCCCCCGAAGGGUUCACAGCCGCCUCAGACGCCGAGCGAGGGAUGACCAGGGGUACGUUCGAUACAUAACCAAGGCUCGGGCUGCGCUCCCGAGGUACCCUAGGACAUUUUCGAGACCAGCAGGAGCGAUCUUGUAACGGAAUCCCAUCGGAGGGAGGCAUCGAGCCCUCGGACCCCGUCGCCAGGGGACCGGGUCCGGCAGAUCACCCGCAGGUACUUUUGGGCGUGCCUCUGGGCCCCUAGCCGACCCCUAACGAAUGGGGCACGGACGUCCACUCGGAUUACCCGAUUGCAGCUCACCGGAGACACCAUGUUCGGCGCCCAUCGAGGGUAACAUGGCGCUUUCCCCCCUCCUCCUUGCGGAAAGGCGACGCAGGGGCGUAUGUAAAAAAGCCGAGUCUGUCCCUGAUCGCCCUCUCGUCCUUUGCGGAGGCUCGGGGGCUGCUCUCGCAAACCCGGCCUCGGCCGAACCGUUGACAGCGUCAACGUACCAGCCCGAGAACUUGGGCCCCGACCGUACACCCGGGCUACGGCCAGUUCGCAUGAGGGAACAACCAGACCGGCUGAAGCAUUACGCAAGGCAUUAAGACCUCGGAGGAGUGAAACCACUCCUCCGAGGCCUCGGGGGCUACACCCGGCGGGUGCGCUCGCGCGCACCCACCGGAACAAAAGGCAACCGAGAAAGGCUGGUCCCCUUGCAAAAAAGUGCGACGAAAGCCUCCAAGCGAGUGCUAACACUCCCUUCGAGGCUCGGGGGCUACUGUCGGGGACCAUAAUUAGGGGUACCCUCAAGACUCCUAAUUCUCAGCUGGUAACCCCCAUCAGCAUAAAGCUGCAAAGGCCUGAUGGGUGCGAUUAAGUCAGGGAUCAGUUCAUUCGAGCGACUCGAUCAUGCCUCGCCCGAGCCUAGCCUCGGACAAGGGCAGCCGACCCCGGGGGAUUUCCGUCUCGCCCGAGGCCCCCCUCCAACGGCGGACACAUCUCCGGCUCGCCCGAGGCCCUGCCUUCGCUAAGAAGCAACCCUGACUAAAUCGCCGCACCGACCGACCGAAUCGCAGGAGCAUUUAACACAAAGGUGGUCUGACACCUUUAUCCUGACGCACGCCCCCCGGCAGAGCCGAAGUGACCGCCGUCACUUCGUCGCUCCACUGACCGGCCUGACAAAAGGACAGCGCCGCCUGCGCCACUCCGACUGCAGUGCCACUUGACAGAGUGAGACUGACAGGUAGUCAGGCCCUGCCAGAGGCACCAUAGGAAGCUCCGCUCCGCCCGACCCAGAGCUCGGACUCGGGCUAAGUCCCGGAAGACGGCGAACUCCGCUCCGCCCGACCCAGGGCUCGGACUCGGGCUAGGUCCCGGAAGACGGCAAACUCCGCUCCGCCCGACCCAGGGCUCGAACUCGGGCUAGGUCCCGGAAGACGGCGAACUCCGCUCCGCCCGACCCAGGGCUCGGACUCGGGCUAGGUCCCGGAAGACGGCGAACUCCGCUCCGCCCGACCCAGGGCUCGGACUCGGGCUAAGUCCCGGAAGACGACGAACUCCGCUCCGCCCGACCCAGGGCUCGGACUCGGGCUCAGCCCCGGAAGACGACGAACUCCGCUUCGCCCGACCCCAGGGCUCGGACUCCGCCCUGGCCUCUGCCGAACGACCUCCGCCUCGCCCGACCCAGGGGCUCGGGCUCGGCCUCGGCCAUGGAAGACAGACUCGACCUCGGCUUCGGAGGAGCCUCCACGUCGCCCAACCUAGGGCGCAGGCCAGCCACGUCAAUAGGAAGCGCCAUCAUCACCCUACCCCGAGCUGACUCGGGCCGCAGAGAACAAGACCGGAGUCUCAUCUGGCUAGCUCCGCCAGAUAGGCAAUGAUGGCGCCCCGCAUGCUCUGUGACGACGGCGGCUCUCAGCUCUCUUACGGAAGCAGGAGGACGUCAGCAAGGACUCAACCGCUCCGACAGCUGUCCCUCCGCCAGGCUCCGUCGCUCCUCCGACGGCCACGACAUCACACCAGCUGGGUGCCAAAAUCUCUCCGGCUGCCACAUCGGCAUGUACUUAGGGCGCUAGCUCUCCCCCGCUAGACACGUAGCACUCUGCUACACCCCCAUUGUACACAUGGAUCCUCUCCUUACGCCUAUAAAAGGAAGGACCAGGACCCUCUUAGAGGAGGUUGGCCGCGCGGGGACGAGGACGGGACAGGCGCUCUCUUGGGGCCGCUCGCUUCCCUCUCCCGCGUGGACGCUUGUAACCCCCUACUGCAAGCGCACCCGACCUGGGCGCGGGACGAACACGAAGGCCGCGGGAUUCCCACCUCUCUAACGUCGGUCACCGGCCGCCUCGCUUCUUCCCCCCUUCGCGCUCGCCCACGCGCUCGACCCAUCUGGGCUGGGGCACGCGGCGACACUCACUCGUCAGCCCGAGGGACCCCCGGUCUCGAAACGCCGACAGACCCUAUCCAUCCUCAAUCCUGCCCGUCCACUCCUUAUCCAAUGGCUCAGAUCCCUUCACCAAAGGAGUAUAUUUGCUUUUAAUCACAAACGCCCAUCGCGAGAUGGACGGUAGCCGUACCCUCUUCAACCUCACGCGCAGCAACGGCCAGAAAUCGCCCCAACCAGCGGAGCCCUCACCAGCGCGCCACCAAAUUUGCCAGCUCCGGUGACAACGUUCCCAUGGUGAUGCGCGAAAACAAAAUCGAAGCAAGGCGGUUACGAAGGGGUGUCUCACCGGAUGGUUAAGCGUUGGCCGAGCGGGUUCGCGACGGAAGACUUGCUUGCCGCAGCUUCCCACCAUGGACCCGACGGAACAUGGCACCUGGCGUAGGGCGUCGGUCGUCUUCGUCGCCAGGAGAGAAAGAGGGAUGAACGCCUAAACGGGAGAAGAAUUCCAAGAAACAGGAACGACAAUUCCUGCUCCCACGGUCUCUCUCCCCAGGCGACGGUGCUCCCCUCCCUGUUUUUUUUCCUGGGAACAAGAACGUGAUUAUGUUUCUCGGCCAGCACCGUAGAGGUGGGAGGGGGAAAGACCUGGUCUUUAUAUCCGCAGAUGGAUUCCUAGCCGCAACAGUCCGACCGAGUGGUUGCCGGCAAUCACGG